GACUAUAUAUGACUUUGCUCGAGGCUUGGCCACACAUGCCAAUUUAUGUGUACCUUCGUCUCUUCCAUUUCAACCGUUUGAAGGAAGGGUGGCAGUCUCAACACCUGAGAAUAUUAACAAAGCGAAACAGGGAAAACUCAAUGUAUCUCUUCCUUGGUUGAUUGAGAAGACUAAUCUAAAUUCGGAAGGACAUCCAAUCACUGGAUCAUCGGAACACUGUUUUCUAUGACAAAUUGCAUGAAUCCAACACAAAAGACCCACAGGAUGUUCUCAGAAAAAUCAGUCUGGUGCCAGAACUACAGGGUUGGCUGAACAGCCAAAUUGCUGAGCAAUUUUUUGCAGACUUGAGAAAAAACAACUACUUUCUCAAUAAUAUGGCUCCCUCGACACACAUUUUCGGUAUGCAAAACAUUAUCCAUCACAAAAAUGCAUCAGCAAACCAGAAGCUGUUGGAGGGACAGCUACAGCGUGGUCACAUACCUCACAGCAUUGGAAAUGUUGUCCUGUCUGACUUUGGACAAGCAAUUUUGACCCUACAUUCCACAGACAAGCAAAUUUCUUCUGGCUUGGGCUUAGUACCUGAGCCUGUGUCAGCAUUGAAACAACAUGUAGUUGAGAACAUUGAAGUGUGUGGACCUCAAUGCGAAGAAGUCAAAAAUUGCAAAAACAUUGCUGCCUGCAGAACUUCAUGGUCUUUAACAUACCAUUCAGCUCAGAAAGAACUGCUCAACUACGUACUGGACAUAGAGAGGCCUGGGAAUGAGCUGAUUGUUCGAACAGCAAAGGCAUGCCUGACCCGUGCUGAUUUUUGGACCUUGGGCUUAAACAGAGGCAUGGAGUC